UACGGUAACGUAACUCUCGAAAAUGGAGGAUGCCAAAACAGCGCUAAGACCCGGGCGGGCAGUGGCCAGCAGCCAAUAACAGGCCAGGCCCUGACUGACUCAGCCGGUGCUGCAAGACUUGGGUGCACUAUCUGGCUCCCGGUCAUGUGACACUCCCGGCUAUCCAUGGAUUCGGCGAUGGCGUCAGGGACCGGCGGCAGAGGAGCUGGGCCGAGAUGCAAGACGCCAGCCACUAGGCCUGUUGCAGCGGGGACUGCAGGGGGCUGGACGGCCAAGAGUCGCUAAACUUUUAAAGAUAUACAUAC
rnacentral:sRNA from 1 species